rnacentral:rRNA from 1 species
AGGUAACACUAAGUGGAGGCGCGAACCGACUGAUGUUGAAAAAUCAGCGGAUGAAUUGUGGUUAGGGGUGAAAUGCCAAUCGAAUCCGGAGCUAGCUGGUUCUCCCCGAAAUGCGUUUAGGCGCAGCGGUUAACGCUAUAGCUUAGGGGUAAAGCACUGUUUCGGUGCGGGCUGCUAACGCGGUACCAAAUCGAGGCAAACUCUGAAUACUAAGUGUGUAGUUAACCAGUAAGACUGUGGGGGAUAAGCUCCAUUGUCAAGAGGGAAACAGCCCAGACCACCAGCUAAGGCCCCUAAAUGAUUACUAAGUGAUAAAGGAUGUGGGAAUGCUGAGACAAUCAGGAGGUUCGCCUAGAAGCAGCUAUCCUUUAAAGAGUGCGUAAUAGCUCACUGAUCAAGCGCACCUGCGCCGAAAAUGAACGGGGCUAAGUAAUCUGCCGAAGCUGUGGGAUUUUUAUAAUCGGUAGGGGAGCGUUCCACCCUAGAUAGAAGCAUCAGCGUAAGUGGAUGUGGACGAAGUGGAAGUGAGAAUGUCGGCUUGAGUAGCGAAAACAUUGGUGAGAAUCCAAUGCCCCGAAAACCUAAGGUUUCCUCCGGAAGGCUCGUCCGCGGAGGGUGAGUCAGGACCUAAGGUGAGGCCGAAAGGCGUAAUUGAUGGCAAGAAGGUUUAUAUUCCUUCACUAGUCUAGGCUUAGUCCUGAGGGACGAACAAAUAACACCCGGCACAAUGGCCUUCCAUGGUAGGAAGGGCCAAACCAUUGUUGUUUGAUGGUAUUUUUUCCAAGAAAAGCUCAUUCGACUUUGAGUCUAGACUACCUGUACCGUAAACCGACACAGGUGAGUGGGUUGAAUAAACUAAGGGGAGCGAGAUAACUCUCUCUAAGGAACUCGGCAAAUUGGCUCUGUACCUUCGGAAGAAAGAGUGCCCCUCAGGGGGCCGCAGUGAAGAGAUCCAGGCGACUGUUUACCAAAAACACAGGUCUCCGCAAAGUCGUAAGACGACGUAUGGGGGCUGACACCUGCCCAGUGCCAGAAGGUUAAAGAAGUUGGUCAAUCUUUGAUGAAGCUAACAACUGAAGCCCUGGUGAACGGCGGCAGUAACUAUAACUGUCCUAAGGUAGCGAAAUUCCUUGUCGGGUAAGUUCCGACCCGCACGAAAGGUGUAACGAUCUGGAUACUGUCUCAGAGAGAGACUCGGUGAAAUAAAACUAUCUGUGAAGAUGCGGAUUACCUGCACACGGACAGAAAGACCUUAUGAAGCUUUACUGUAACCUGGAAU